UUAUUUUUUUAAAAAGAAACCAUCAUCAAAUAUAAAUAUUUAGUUUUGAAUUGUCUUAAUGUUUUUAUUUUAGGCAAAGAGCUGAACAGUUCCAAAAUACAAAAUACCAUAAAACCUUUAACAAAAAUUUUCUUUUUUUAGCCAAAGCUUAUUAGUACAAGCAAAUGGUAUUUGCACGACAUUAAGGCGAGUUUCCACUCAUCCGUUUUUUAACGGGAACGCGAAAGGGACGGGAAAAAAAAUCACGUGGGCAUGCGUAGUAUAAGUUUUAAUAUGUCCGAAGGAAAACUACUCAUGCUCACGUGAUUAUUUUUCCCUUUUCUAUCCCGUUCCCGUGAAAAACGGAUGAGUGGAAACUCACCUUAAUGCUGCAACAGCCCUAAAACUCAAAUGAUCUUGGAUACGACAGGUCCAUAAUAUAAUAAUAAACGAUAAGUUGAAGCACAUGUAGGGAAUCAUUAUGCCUAUGACCCAUCGCAAUUACUUUCACUUUGUCAACAAAUGUUAUGUUCUCCUAAAAUAAGUUGGCCCAGAAGAAGAGAUAUUAUCUUCAGAUUAAAAAUUUGUUAAAAAAGUGAAAUUAAGUUUAUCUUAAUAACAUAACUAUAAUCGUUGAUUCUUUCUCAUGACAUAGCUUUUCUAUGUGAAAACUGGUUAUCAAAUUUAGAACAUUUCAUAAUAAAAAAUAUCUACAAAAAUACCCACUCUUCGUUCUUCCACCAGGCUGACAAACACGAGCAGGGUCGACCGUUUGGUGGAAACGCUUUUUUUACUCGGAAACAUUUGUUUCAAAACAUUAUUAUUCUUUAUGAAGAUGAUCAUAUCUUUGCAAUAAAUCUUUAAAAAAUCAGACUAAUAUUAUUAUUAUUAUUAUUAUUAUUAUUAUUAUUAUUAUUAUUAUUAUUAUUAUUAUUGGCAUUUCAUCGUCGCGCAAUAAUCAAACAUCAUUGGAGGAUUACAAGAGUCAGUUGGAUAUAAUUUCAGGUGUUAUUAAUAACUACGAGGGCGUUGCUGAAUUUAUUGUCAUUAGCGACUUUCAAUCUUCAUCACGGAAUAUAUGAUUCAUUAAAGAGAGCUAGCUCUACGAAAAAUAACUACUCCGUAGUUUUAUAAAAUUUUAUUAAGUCGAAUGAACUUGAAUUAGUAGACGUAACAAAAGACUCUGGACCUAUGAUAACGUAUCACCAUAAUACAUUACCAAACGCAUCUUACAUAAAUCACAUAGCUUUCUCAAAGUAUACGUCUUGAGUGAUCAUUUACCAGUAUCGAUUGAAGUUGGAAUUAUUGGACAAUCUCAAGAAAACAAUCAUAAAAACUCAGACAAGUACAGCAUUCCAAACUAUGCCUGGAAUAACAAGGAUUUUUUACAAUUAUAUAACAAUCGUUUAAAUACUAAUUUUAAUUUUCACAAUUUUACGAAUGACAAUUACGAUGAGAACUUAUCAAAUUAUAUACUGUUUAUUACAAAAUCGGCAUCUAAGGCACUCAGUCAAUAUUCAUCCAUGAAAAAACCGUCAUUGCAUUCAAAAUCCUGGUGGACACCCAAGUUAAGCCGUAGUAAAAAUGUUCUUUCAUUUUAUUUAAAAAAAUGGCGGAAAACUGGGUUCGUUAAAAACUUAAACUCGCAAAUUUUUAAUCGAUACCGGAUGGCACGAAAAAAUUUCCGCAAUGCUGUAAAAAAUGCUCAAAAUAAAAACCUGUACAAAGAAUACAUAAAAAUCUAUACGUUAAAAAAUACAAAUCCAAAAUAUUUUUGGAAAACUUUCAGAAAUAUAAAAAAAGAUGCAAGUUCGAAAUUGUAUAUCAUAAAUAACAAAAAAGAUAAAGACUCGAUCACAAACGAAUUUGCCUACAUUGAUUACACAAUAAAGCAAUCACAUAUACCUCUACAAAUUUAAACGUUCCACCUUGCACCAAAUUCGACGAGGUAAUAAUAUCGGAUGAAAAUAUAAAAACGGUUAUUUCUCGCCUUAAAUUAAACAAAUCCGAGGACGUCUUCGGAAUAUCAGCUGAACAUUUAAAGAAUGCGAGCUGUGAAGCAGUAACAGAAUGGCUCAGAAAAUUUUUUAACUUUUUUAUUAAUCAUGGACAGACCCCAAAAUCGAUGUCUACAUCACUUAUAAUACCACUUGCUAAACCGUAUAAAAAAUCCUUAACUGAUCCAAAUAACUACCGCAGCAUUAGCAUCAUUCCAAUCUUUACGAAACUAAUAGAAUAUCUUAUCCUUCUAAUCUGUCCAGAAAUAAAAGAGACUCAUCCUCUUCAAUUUGGUUUCAAUAAAAAUAGCUCAACCCUACACGCUGAAUUUGUUAUUAGUGAAACAAUUAAACACUACAACAACAACAACUUACCUGUCUAUCUCUGUUUCCUAGAUGCUGAAAAAGCGUUUGACAGCUACAACUGGGACAUUUUGUUUGAGAGACUGUACAAUUAUAAAAAAACUCCCUCUCUUUAUCGUUAAUACCAUAUCGUCAUUAUACUAUGCGCAGUGCUUAAAAAUAUAAAGCAGUGCUUCUGUUUCUUAUCUAGAUUACAAAUCAUAUCCUUUCUAUCUAACGCAAGAAGUGAGACAGGGAUCUAUUCUCUCGCCUCAUUUGUAUAACAUUUAUACUCAAAACCUAUUAGAAACCUUACAAAACGAAAGCGUUGUAGGUACAUCAAUCAAUGAAAACUAUACGGGUGCUGUAGCAUAUGCUGAUGACAUUAUAUUUCUAAGCUCCACCCUCUCUGGCCUACAAAAGCUUAUUAAUAUAUGUAAUAUGUACACACACACACAAAAACUGCAUAAAAUUGAAUGCUGACAAAACCGAGUUCCUGCUCACCGGAAAAAAGCAAAUUAAAAACUGCACAAUAACUCUCAACCACCAAGAAAUAAAACUUCAUGAUUAACUUAGUCAUCUAUGCUUUACAUGGGAUACAAAAAGUUCAUCUUUUGCCUCAGUUAAUAAAUCAAACAUUGAUCACCGAAUAUCUAAUUUCCGGACGGUAAUCCAAACCUUAAUUCAAUCAGGAAUCCGUUUUGCUCACCCAAACUCCAUUGUUCAGUUAUAUACAACUUUAGCUGUUCCAACACUAACGUAUGGUCUUGAGCUGUGUGAACAUAAAAAAAUAUUAAUGCAAAAGCUUGAUAUUGUUGGAAGAAAUGCACUUAAGACACUCCUCGAUGUUUCAAAACAUAGCAAAAAUUAUAUUGGCCUGAUGAACAAUAAAAUGACAAAUGAUAUUAUUAAGUCGCAGCUGAAAAACGAAACAGCCCUAAAACAUUUUUUAGAUAGUAUCAAAGACUUGUGCAAUAAUCAUAAAAUAAAUCUGGAGACAAUAAUGAAAAGAUAAAAAAAAAUUAAACCAUUGGCCUCAAAAAUUUAAUUCCUGAGACGGAUCAUCAAACUCUAAAAUGUGCAUUUGAGUGUUAGAACUUAAAAAAGCAGAGAACUAUCUUCAAGGACAUUCUUGAAAAAGAUAUUCCAAGAUGAUCACAUUAAAAAAAAAAAAAAAAUUCCAAGAUUUUUGGUAUUUAUCUUGUAUGAAACUCUUAAUUUACCUUACUUGUAUAGUAACUUACACAAACAAAAACAAUUGGACAUAAAACUCCUCUUCUGGUCUAUAUCUAUUUAAUGUAAUGUAACUAAAUUAGUAUUUAACAUGAAAAGCCAGUUUAUGAGGUAUGUAGCGGUCAAUUGUCAUGAUACAAACUUUUACGCAGUAAGGUUGAAGGUCAGUGAUCUUAUAAAGUUGAUUAGAAUCAUUAACUGUUGAAAUAAUAUCACCAAAUUUGUAUACAAUUCAACCAAUUACAAUUCUUUUUUUUAAAAUGUUGAGUUUUUGCCGUAAAAGAUAAGGUAUCAGUUGACAUUUAUUAUCAAGGAAGUUUGAAAUUGUAUUCCAUCGAAGAUAUUGACAAAUUGAUUUUUAAUGUUAUGCUUGCCGUAAAAGGAUGAGAUAUCAGUUGACCAUUAUCAUCAAGGAAGUUUGAAAUUGUAUUCCAUCGAAGAUAUUGACAAAUUGAUUUUUAAUGCAAUGUUUUUAAAGUUAUGUCAACGUACACUUUUUAUUUUAUUGUGCUAAAUAUAUAAAAAUUGUCUUUCUCUAUAGAGAAAGACAAUCUUUAUAUAUAUAUAUAUAUAUAGCUGAGAAAUCACUCUCAGAUGUUUAAAGAUCUACUACGUUAUUUCAACGCAAGAUUUCCAUUCAGCUAUUAAACAGCUGAGAGAGAGCAACCAGUUGAACAAAAAUAGCCAUCAACUUUACAAACCGUAAAGAAGAAAUCAAGAAAAGUUUUUACUAAUAUAAAAGAUUUCUUUAAACAUACAUCAAAAUUAGAGAAGUCAAUACCUUCUUCUAGACCUAUUCCCCCAUCUAUACCUUCUCUCAGACCACAAAAAUCAAUACCUCCUGCCAGACCUACUCUUCCUCCUUGACAUUCUUCAAAAAUUAAAGAACCACCUAAAAUAAAACGCUAAUUUCUUGAUAAAAUAAUUAGGGAUUAUUUGAGAAAAGUUGGUAGAGAUUUGGAAGAAAAAGAUGAUUUACCAGACUUAAAUAUUUAUAAAGAAACUAGCUGACACAUAUUGUGUGGCUGAAUUACCGCAAGACCACAGACUUGAAUCAGACUCUCUCAUUUAUAAAUGAGAUGUAACUAAAAUUAGGGAGCCAAUAGAAAGUAAAAUAAAAGAAGACGGACAAAUGGUUACACUGAUUUUAGUAGCUGAAAUUGAAAAACUGCGUUUCGUGUUGAAAACGCUUAUGAUGAAGGUGAAUCCUCUAAAACUAUGAAACAAAGUAUUACCUUCGCUCAGAUGCUGCUGCUAUCCUUAAUAAAAGUAACAUUAAAGGUUUGAUUGAAAUUACUCCAGCGAAAAUUAACGAACUACUUAAAAAAAUUUAAUAACGAAGGUUCUAGUUAGUGGCUUAGUCGCUGUGAACCAUUACACAUUAGGUUUGCAAACUAUAAUCCAUUCCGAGGCAAUAGUUAUAUUCAAACAUCUGGAUACAUUUCUAGGCGUUGUGUUAUAAAUGUGAAAAAUAUGAAUACCCGAUACUUUGAGUUGACUAUCCUUAGCAAACUACACCGUGUAGAUCCUCUAAAAUUAGACCGCGAACAUGGUAAAAAGUAUCGAAAUAAACAUGUGGAUAUCAAAGUAUAGCCAAAAUCUUGGAGGGCUAAACUUUAAAGAUUUUGAAUUUUCAGAUAAAAUUACCGAUAUUGAAAAGUUCGAGCAACAAAAUCCAACGCUCUCAGUUCUUUGAAUGGGGAAAAGGUUUAUAUUCACUAUACAUUAGCAAUGAAAAGGAUAAGAUUGAAAUAGACAUUUUACUUAUUUAAGAUAAUAAGUUUCAUUAUGUCUGGAUUAUUAAUUUGGUUGCGGUGCUUUACUAUAAAAGUAAAAAUAGAAAAUUAAAGCACCCAUGUUGUUGAUGCCUUCAUUUAUUCAGUGCCAUUAACUUGUUAAAACAUCAUAGUGGAAUCGUACUGUAAUGCCGGAAAAAGGUAAAGAUAAAAAUUAAAAUUUACAAGUUCUUAAAAACAAAGUGUGUAUCUUAAGUUAUCUAUGCAGGUUUUGAAUGUCAUAAUGUCCGUUGCCACAGACUGAACAAGCUGAUUUAACAAAAAUCUCGGUGACGAUAAAGUAAGAAAUCAUUGUCACAUAACGGGAAAUAUCGAGUCGCGUACCGCUCACAAAGAGUGCAAAAAAAGGUAAUCCUAUAAGCAGCACACUUAAUAACAACAUUAAAUCCUUUAUCAGCCAUAAUUGGUUAAUAAGGAGGGAGUCAGUUAUUGCCAUAUCUGACAUUUUUCUAGUAUAUGCCUUUAAAACAGAAUUUAUAAAAGUACUAGAGGUAACUAAUACAAGAAACUUCAUUUUAUUGUGCUACUUGUAUUCAGACCAAGUUGUAAUUUGCAAUUCUAAAUCUUUUGGUGUUUCUAUAAAAAUUUCAGUGCGGUCAAAUAUUCCUAACAGACUUGGAUUAUCUUUAAAACAAUCAGGGCGGUUCAAACAAACUUUUUCUUCGUCUGGAAAGUAAACAAAUGAUUUAAAAUAUUGUAACAGGUCUCUUAUCCAAGAUUUAAAUAUUUUUGAAACAGCGCCAAGAGAAACAUUAAAUCUACCAACAAUGUCGUUGCUUUGCGAUCCAAGGCGUAAUUUCAACAGAACAACUAAAAAUUCAUCUUGUGAACAUAUUUUUAUGUAUCUACAACGUUUUUUUGGUGGCUUAUUAUUUGAAAUUUUUUAGGAAACCAUCUUCAGUUUUAAAACUAAAUCAAUUAUGUACAAUUGGUUCUAUAAGAUCAUGGAGACUGUUAAAAACUUUCAUAGAAGGAAUGUUUGUGUUACACUUUUUCUCAAUUGUUAAUAACUGAUGCGCUUGAGAGAGCUCAUUAAGAUUAGAAAGUGGAUUAAUAUAAAUUUCAUUUUCAUCUACAACUUCUACUACUACUGGUUCUGGUUCAAUCAUAAAGUCAAUUUUUUUUGGCUGAAGUUGACACUAAGUAAUGAGGAGUUGGAACGUAAUUGUCUAACAAAAAAAAGUUGCGAUUGCGAUUAACAAAAUAAAGUACUACAUUGUGUAGUGGAGUUUACGUUUGGUUUAUAUUUUUUAAGUAAAGGCUGUGUGUAGUCAGUAUUUAUUGUACUAAUUACAGGCACAAAAGAGUAACUUUAUUUCUAGAAUCGUAUUCAAGUUUCUUAGUUAGAAAAGGAUUUUUUAAUGUAGGCUCUUUAUCUACAAAAUGAUUGAAGCAAACUUGUGCAUUUUGGACAGAAAAAAAUCAGUUGUUCCAGGAGUGCUUUUUAGGCUGUUGUUAAGUCGAUCCAAAUUUCACGUUGAGAAGGAGAUUUUUUUAUAGUUAGAAAAAGAAAUAACUGAAAAGCCAUAAAAAUGUAUACACAUGAGUGUAAUUCUCCAAUGGAUGUUGAUCAAUAUAUUCAAGACCAACACGACUGGGAGACUCCGAUAUAUGUCAAUCAAUGUUUUCAACAAACAGACAAGGGAUUUGCUGAUUUUGAUUUUUCUCCAAAUUAUUUGAAUAUAACUGUUAGUGUUAGUUUGAAAAGCAAUGCAAACUUAAAUGAAAAAGUCCAUUAUUUAACGAAGAAGAUAGGAAUCAUACAAGCAAACGUCUAAAACCCAAACAUUGAUCUUAUGUAAUUUUUUGUUAUAAAACAAAAAAUUUUAAUUUAAAAGUUGAUAAAAAUAUUUAACUAUACACUAUUUAAGAAUAAAAUUUAGUUAAUAAUUUUGAUUAUUUGAUUUGGACUAUUAUGAGUGUUUAUAAGAUAUCAAAGAAUCAAUUCCUCAUAAUAAAAUGUUUUUUUUGUGUGUGUGGAAAAAAACUCUCCAUUAUUGUUUUAGUGGUCAAGUAUGUUAAAUCACAUGAAAUGCCUAUGUAUGAGUCUUCGAUUGGCGUUGAUCAAUAUCUUUAACAGCAAAAGGACAAGGCAUUUGCCUAGUUUUAAUUUUCUAUGAAUUGUUUGAUUUUGUUAGUCGAUGUUAGUUUAAAAAGCAUUUCGAACAUGAAUGAGAUGGUCCAUCAUUUAACGACUAAGCUUGAAAUCAAAGAAGAAAAGCUCAAAAAUCUCAAAACUAAUCUAAUGUGAUUUCUUCAUAUUUAACAAACAUUUAAAGUUUAAUACUUGAUAAAAAUAUUUGAAUAAAGACAGUAAAAAAAAAAUUCAAAAUAUAUUGAAUUGUUGAGCAAGAUUUAUAUAUACAAUAUACGUUAAACUAAUAUUGAAUUGAUGAUAUAGUUGUUUUUAGUUUGUUUUUGUUUUGACAUAUUUUUUCAUAAAUAAAUAUUUAUUAAUGUUAAUGAUAUUGUCAAUGUCAAUUUAUUAAUGUCAAUGAUAUCAAAUAUAUAUUAUAUAAUAUUAUAAAAUAUAUAUCAAUAUUAUAUAAUAUAAAAUUUAUAAAUAUAUAUAUUAUAAAAUAUAUAUUAUAUAUAUAUGAAAUAUAUAUUUUUUUUUUAUGAAUGGUUAUGUAUCAAUGUCAAUAAAACAUAUAUUAUAACGAAUAUUUUAGGAUUUUAUUUUAAUAAUAUAAUCACCUUAAUGUAAUGUAAGACUUGUAUUAUAGAUUCUGAUUUUUUUUUUGUAGCCAUAAAAAUGUUUACACAUUAGUGUAAUUCUCCAAUGGAUGUUGAUCAAUAUCUUCAAGACCAACACGACUGGGAGGCUCCGAUGGACGUCGAUCAAUGUUUUCAACAAACAGACAAGGGAUUUGCUGAUUUUAAUUUUUCUCCAAAUAAUUUAAAUAUAACUGUUAGUGUUAGUUUGAAAAGCAAUGCAAACUUAAAUGAAAAAGUCCAUUAUUUAACGAAGAAGAUAGAAAUCAUACAAGCAAACCUCAAAAAGCCAAACAUUGAUCUAAUCUUUAAAAAUGUAAACACAUGAGUGUAAUUCUCCAAUGGAUGUUGAUCAAUAUCUUCAAGACCAACACGACUGGAAGACUCUGAUAAACGUCGAUAAAUGUUUUUAACAAACAGACAAGGGAUUUGCUGAUUUUAAUUUUUCUCCAAAUUAUUUACAUAUAACUGUUAGUGUUAGUUUGAAAAGCAAUGCAAACUUAAAUGAAAAAGUCCAUUAUUUAACGAAGAAGAUAGAAAUCAUACAAGCAAACGUCUAAAAUCCAAACAUUGAUCUUAUCCAUAAAAAUGUAUACACAUGAGUGUAAUUCUCCAAUGGAUGUUGAUCAAUAUCUUCAAGAGCAACACGACUAAUAGACUCCAAUGGAUGUCAAUUGAUGUCUUCAACAAACAGACAAGGGAUUUGCUGACUUUGAUUUUUCUCCCAAUUGUUUUAAUAUAUCAGUCAGUGUUAGUUUGAAAAGCAAUGCAAACUUAAAUAAGAAAAUCCAUUAUUUAACGAAGAAGAUAGAAAUCAUACAAGCAAACAUCAAAAACCCAAACAUUGAUCUAAUGUAAUUUUUUGUUAUAAAACAAAAAUUUUUGAUUUGAAAAUUGAUAAAAUUAUUUAACUAUACACUAUUUAAAAAUAAAAUUUAGUUAAUUAUUUUGAUUAAUUGAUUUGGACUAUUGUGAGUGUUUAUUAUAUGUCAAAGAAUCAAUUUCUCACAAUAAAAUGUAUUUUUUGUGUGUGUGGAAAAAAAAUCCCCAUUAAUUGUUUUAGUUGUCAAGUAUGUUAAAACACAUGAAAUGCCUAUAUAUGAGUCUUCGAUUGGCGUUGAUCAAUAUUUUUAACAGCAAAAGGACAAGGUAUUUGCCUAGUUUUAAUUUUCUAUGAAUUGUUUGAUUUUGUCAGUCAAUGUUAGUUUCAAAAGCAUUUCGAACAUGAAUGAGAUGGUCCAUCAUUUAUUGACUAAGCUUGAAAUCAAAGAAGAAAAGCUCAAAAAUCUCAAAACUGAUCUAAUGUGAUUUCUUCAUAUUUAACAAACAUUUAAAGUUUAAUACUUAAUGAAAAUAUUUGACUAAAGACAAUUUGAAAAAAAAAUUUUAAAAUAUGUGGAGUUGUUGAGGAGAUUUAUAUAUACGAUAUAACAAUAAACUAAAAUUAAAUUGAUGA
rnacentral:lncRNA from 1 species